rnacentral:rRNA from 1 species
CCUACGGGUGGCAGCAGUGAGGAAUAUUGGUCAAUGGGCUUACGCCUGAACCAGCCAAGUCGCGUGAGGGAAGACUGCCCUAUGGGUUGUAAACUUCUUUUGUCAGGGACGAAGCAAGUGACGGUACCUGACGAAUAAGCCACGGCUAACUACGUGCCAGCAGCCGCGGUAAUACGUAGGUGGCAAGCGUUAUCCGGAUUUACUGGGUGUAAAGGGCGUGUAGGCGGGGAAGCAAGUCAGAUGUGAAAACCACGGGCUCAACCUGUGGCCUGCAUUUGAAACUGUUUUUCUUGAGUGCUGGAGAGGCAAUCGGAAUUCCGUGUGUAGCGGUGAAAUGCGUAGAUAUACGGAGGAACACCAGUGGCGAAGGCGGAUUGCUGGACAGUAACUGACGCUGAGGCGCGAAAGCGUGGGGAGCAAACAGGAUUAGAUACCCCAGUAGUC